AGUGAACGCUGGCGGCGUGCUUAACACAUGCAAGUCGAACGAGAACGGGUUAUAGCUUGCUAUAACUGUCAGCUAAGUGGCGCACGGGUGAGUAAUAUAUAGUUAACCUGCCCUAGAGAAGGGGAUAACGUUUGGAAACGGACGCUAACACCCUAUAUGCCUUUAAUACAUAAGUAUGCAAGGGAAACAUUUAUGGCUCUAGGAUGGGACUGUACGGUAUCAGUUAGUUGGUGAGGUAAUGGCUCACCAAGACAAUGACACCUAACUGGUUUGAGAGGAUGAUCAGUCACACUGGAACUGAGACACGGUCCAG
rnacentral:rRNA from 1 species